CCCCUUGGGGAGUAGCCGGAUUCCUUCGCAGGAAUCGUCCACGUCAACAUACUCGGCCAGUGCGCCGUGGCGUGGACAGCCAUGAUGGUU
rnacentral:sRNA from 2 species